rnacentral:tRNA from 1 species
GCCCUCGUAGCUCAAAGGACAGAGCGCCUGGCUUCGAACCAGUAGGUUGGGGGUUCGAGUCCCUCCGGGGGUA